AUUGAACGCUGGCGGCAGGCUUAACACAUGCAAGUCGAGCGGAAACGGAGGUAGCUUGCUACCAGACGUCGAGCGGCGAACGGGUGAGUAACGCGUAGGAAUCUACCUAGUAGAGGGGGAUAGCCCGGGGAAACUCGGAUUAAUACCGCAUACGCCCUAAGGGGGAAAGCAGGGGAUCUUCGGACCUUGCGCUAUUAGAUGAGCCUGCGUCGGAUUAGCUAGUUGGUAAGGUAAAGGCUUACCAAGGCGACGAUCCGUAGCUGGUCUGAGAGGAUGAUCAGCCACACUGGAACUGAGACACGGUCCAGACUCCUACGGGAGGCAGCAGUGGGGAAUAUUGGACAAUGGGGGCAACCCUGAUCCAGCCAUGCCGCGUGUGUGAAGAAGGCCU
rnacentral:rRNA from 1 species